rnacentral:lncRNA from 1 species
AAAAUAAAAAAUGGUCACAAAUAAGGUAAAAUGAAAUAACACCUAUAAGAGUUUAUUUUAAAUCAAUGAAGAAGAAAUUUACCUAUCAUACUGACUGUGUUUUAUGAACGUACAAACCACUAAAUUGUAUAUAGAAGCAAAAAUUGAGAUGUCCACCCCCUUCAUGUUCCAUGUUAGUUGUUACCUAACUCCGUUUGAAUUUGGAGUCACAGGAAUCUUCUGCACUUGAGCGUUGAAAGACAAAAUGUAAGAGAAAACUUCAUCAAGGAAGAGAGGUAAGCAAUUUUAAUUUUUCGAAUGUAAGUAGUGUGUAGUCUAAUCACUGUUUUAAAGUCAAGCGGACAGAGUAAUAAAUUUAUUUUGAGCGUGGGAAGGAGUAAUGUAGUAUGCUAACGGAUGCUAGCGUUAGCUUAGCAGCCCUCGCAUGUGGUUCAGAAAACAGUUAGUGAAGUAUCUACUGUAAUGUUGUGAGAAUUCCUAGCUAUGCUAUUUAUAAGGGGCAAUGUUAGCCGUUUGUAUUAACUUAAGUUAAUAGGCACAUUGAGAAUUUCUUUCAAUUAGCAAGAGAGCUAAUUAACCACAUUCACUAUCACAGAAACCUGAAACAACUUCUUCACCCUGGGUAGUUGCUACAGGCCCUCCAACUGCUGAUGCUAAUGUAGGCCAGCUGAAAACCUUGCAGCUCCCCAGUCCUCCGGAAUAUGUUGUGUACACCGACAGUGAGUUGGAGCAAUGCCGAAAGAGUUACCUGGAGUUGGCCUGCUCCGGCAGGGAACAAGCAUGCGUCAUGUCAAAAGAACUGAGAUGCAGAUUGGUGAGAAAUACAAUCACAAGUAUGGUGUCCCUUUUGAGAGCAAGCCAAGGCCAAAUGGAGCGAUACCCCUCUAAGACCGAAAUCACUGCAAUGGCUAAAAAAGUUGUGGAAUAUUAUCCUAUGCUGCAGGAUAAUGAUGCAAAAGUAAAACACGAGAGCAUUAAUGCCAAGUUACAAAAAAGGCUGCAAAAUAUGAAAACCCCAGUAAAAAGGCAAGGACCAACACCGGAGAGGGGACGGCCCAAGAGAAGGCUCACUGACCUCUCCCCAAGGGAUGAAGAAGCUGAUGAUGAAGAUGCUGAUCGCAGUUCUUCCAGUGGUGCAUCUACUCUGUUAUCACCUGUCAGAAAUUCUGACGAUGCCUCCACUUCAUCUGACAAGGAUAGUCGGCAAAUACAAGCAAGACAUUACAAAACAUUACAAGAAAUGUGCAAGAAGGCAAAACCAAACCAAGAAGAUGUGUCCCAGCUAUUAGACCUCGAGUUUGAAGCCAGAAGAUCCUUCAUUGACUCAGACACCAUGAAAGAGGAGAACAGAGCUCGCCUCAUCUUGGAUGCAUAUCCAUGCUUUAAAGAAUUGCAUCAUGCAUUGGGUGAGCUUCGCAGAAUUUUGGAUCCCCACAACAAGUUCAUCAGUCAAAUAAAACUGAGAUGGGAAGAAUUCUGCUCCAGGGUAGAGUUCUACGGUGUGUCAAAGAAGGCAAUGAAUCCACCAAUGACCAUGGACAAAACUGAAGCCCACCUUGCACUGAUGAAGGCUCUUCCAACGCUCUUUCCCACACCUGCCCAUCCACCAAAAAAGAUGGGGAAUGCUUCUGAAGCAUUUCUACAUGUCCUGAAGCCUACAGAAGAUCCAGAUGCUGUCCUCCAGAAACGAAGCUUGUCAUGUCCAGUAGUGAUGUUCGAUGGCUGCAAGUGUGUCAUUGCUGUUGGUAAUUUACCAGUUACAACAUUUGACAAAGAAAAACUUGGUGAGGCUAUGAUAUAUGUGAUGGCAUACUUUUAUGCACUCUAUCUGACUUACCCCAAAUGCGUGGCAACCCUGCUGUCUGUCAUUCAGACAGAAGUUCUCCAGGAUGCCAUUCAUGAGCAUGACACUACAUCAUCUUACAGAAAAGCCCUGGCAGAAUGGCAUGCAUUUAUUGGAAAGUAG